GGGCCCAUGAUUUUUGCAGCCGGGCUCGUCGGCCUGAAGCUUGUGUGCCGCUGCCUGCUGGUGCCAUCUCCUGGCACUGCAUCGUUACCACAGCAACGGAGCCUGCAUAGGACUCCUCCAGGAUGGCUUCCUGUUCGGGUGGGAUAUUCAAAUUUCCCCAUGCCAGGGAUGCCGGACCCCAUUGCUUCCAACAGACCCGCUCCUCCUUCAGCACCUGUCUGGGGAUCCGACAGUCAUCCCUCCUCCGCCUCUCUUGCCCAGAAAUGGGAUGCUUGAAUGCUGAAGUUUUCAGAAAAUGCGGGAUUGCACUGUUAGUCAUCCUUGCAUUAAGGAAAACUCAGACUGCGGUGCUCACCUAAACUGGCAUCCACGGUUUCUUCCGACACUGAGGCGCAAGCAUCAAAACGGUCUCGAGUUGUCAGACGAGCGGUCUCUAAUUCCCUGACCACGGUCUAGCCGCAGUGCAGAGUGAAAACGAGUGUUAUGGCAGCACGGACUGUAGGCCGGCUUCCGAUUCCAUCCACAAGCACAUUUCUUACCUCGACGUAAGGUAAGGUUUGUGUUGCUUUUUCACGCGCACCGGACACCUCCGAUCUCGAGAAAUGUAGUGACAGGAUGUUGGUCCAGCGGGGGCAGGGAGAGGUGAGCUAGUGGAAAGCCUGCAGGCCAGAUUGGGGAGGCCCUGUGUCUGUGGCGUAGUGGACAGAGCGUGCGCUUGGGAGUUGGAAGGUCAUGGGUUCUACUCCCGGC